GACAGAGGUGCCGAGCGUUAGGCGGAAUCACUGGGCUUAAAGCGUGUGUAGGCGGGUCGUUAAGUGUCUUGUGAAAUCCCACGGCUCAACCGUGGAACCGCUGGGCAUACUGGCGACCUUGAGCGGCCUAGGGGCGAGUGGAACAAGUGGUGGAGCGGUGAAAUGCGUAGAUAUCGGGAGGAACACCAGUGGCGAAGGCGGCGAUCUGGGAACAUACUGACGCUGAGGUGCGAAAGCGUGGGGAGCAAACAGG
rnacentral:rRNA from 1 species